rnacentral:rRNA from 1 species
GAGUUUGAUCCUGGCUCAGGAUGAACGCUGGCGGCGUGCCUAACACAUGCAAGUCGAGCGGUAUAUAGUGGAAUGAAACUUCGGUCGAGUGAAGCUAUAGAGAGCGGCGGACGGGUGAGUAACGCGUAGGCAACCUGCCCCAUACAGAGGGAUAGCCUCGGGAAACCGGGAUUAAAACCUCAUAACGCGAGGAGUUCACAUGGACUACUCGCCAAAGAUUCAUCGGUAUGGGAUGGGCCUGCGUCUGAUUAGCUAGUUGGUGAGGUAACGGCUCACCAAGGCGACGAUCAGUAGCCGACCUGAGAGGGUAAUCGGCCACAUUGGAACUGAGACACGGUCCAAACUCCUACGGGAGGCAGCAGUGGGGAAUAUUGCACAAUGGGCGAAAGCCUGAUGCAGCAACGCCGCGUGAGCGAUGAAGGCCUUUGGGUCGUAAAGCUCUGUCCUUUGGGGAAGAAACAAAUGACGGUACCCUUGGAGGAAGCCCCGGCUAACUACGUGCCAGCAGCCGCGGUAAUACGUAGGGGGCGAGCGUUAUCCGGAAUUAUUGGGCGUAAAGAGUGCGUAGGUGGCCAUGUAAGCGCGGGGUGAAAGGCAAUAGCUUAACUAUUGUAAGCCUUGCGAACUGUGUGGCUUGAGUGCAGGANAGGAAAGUGGAAUUCCUAGUGUAGCGGGUGAAAUGCGUAGAUNUUAGGAGGAACNCCAGUGGCGAAGGCGACUUUCUGGACUGUAACUG